CCUACGGGCGGCUGCAGUGGGGAAUAUUGCACAAUGGGCGCAAGCCUGAUGCAGCCAUGCCGCGUGUGUGAAGAAGGCCUUCGGGUUGUAAAGCACUUUCAGCGGGGAGGAAGGCGUUAAGGUUAAUAACCUUGUCGAUUGACGUUACCCGCAGAAGAAGCACCGGCUAACUCCGUGCCAGCAGCCGCGGUAAUACGGAGGGUGCAAGCGUUAAUCGGAAUUACUGGGCGUAAAGCGCACGCAGGCGGUCUGUCAAGUCGGAUGUGAAAUCCCCGGGCUCAACCUGGGAACUGCAUUCGAAACUGGCAGGCUAGAGUCGUGUAGAGGGGGGUAGAAUUCCAGGUGUAGCGGUGAAAUGCGUAGAGAUCGGGAGGAAUACCGGUGGCGAAGGCGGCCCCCUGGACAAAGACUGACGCUCAGGUGCGAAAGCGUGGGGAGCAAACAGGAUUAGAUACCCGAGUAGUC
rnacentral:rRNA from 1 species